rnacentral:rRNA from 1 species
GAUAGUGGAGCUGCUCCAUGAUUCAGCGGCGGACGGGUGAGUAAUGCCUAGGAAUCUGCCUGGUAGUGGGGGAUAACGUUUCGAAAGGAACGCCUAAUACCGCAUACGUCCUACGGGAGAAAGUGGGGGAUCUUCGGACCUCACGCUAUCAGAUGAGCCUAGGUCGGAUUAGCUAGUUGGUGGGGUAAUGGCCCACCAAGGCGACGAUCCGUAACUGGUCUGAGAGGAUGAUCAGUCACACUGGAACUGAGACACGGUCCAGACUCCUACGGGAGGCAGCAGUGGUCUGCCUUUUUUUCCUGA